UACGUAGGUGGCGAGCGUUGUCCGGAUUUACUGGGCGUAAAGAGCGCGCAGGCGGUCGUACAAGUCGCGUGUGAAAGCCCCCGGCUCAACUGGGGAGGGUCACGCGAUACUGUUCGACUCGAAGGCAGGAGAGGGAAGCGGAAUUCCCGGUGUAGCGGUGGAAUGCGUAGAGAUCGGGAAGAACAUCAGUGGCGAAGGCGGCCUGCUGGGCUGUUGCUGACGCUGAGGCGCGACAGCGUGGGGAGCAAACAGG
rnacentral:rRNA from 1 species